rnacentral:rRNA from 1 species
GAUGAACGCUGGCGGCGUGCCUAAUACAUGCAAGUCGAGCGAACGGACGAGAAGCUUGCUUCUCUGAUGUUAGCGGCGGACGGGUGAGUAACACGUGGAUAACCUACCUAUAAGACUGGGAUAACUUCGGGAAACCGGAGCUAAUACCGGAUAAUAUUUUGAACCGCAUGGUUCAAAAGUGAAAGACGGUCUUGCUGUCACUUAUAGAUGGAUCCGCGCUGCAUUAGCUAGUUGGUAAGGUAACGGCUUACCAAGGCAACGAUGCAUAGCCGACCUGAGAGGGUGAUCGGCCACACUGGAACUGAGACACGGUCCAGACUCCUACGGGAGGCAGCAGUAGGGAAUCGUCCGCAAUGGGCGAAAGCAUGACGGAGCAACGCCGCGUGAGUGAUGAAGGUCUUCGGAUCGUAAAACUCUGUUAUUAGGGAAGAACAUAUGUGUAAGUAACUGUGCACAUCUUGACGGUACCUAAUCAGAAAGCCACGGCUAACUACGUG